rnacentral:rRNA from 1 species
GCGCAACCCUUGCCUUUACGUUGCCAGCAGUUCGGCUGGGCACUCUAAAGGGACGUGCCGGUGUUAAACCGGAGGAAGGUGGGGAUGACGUCAAGUCCUCAUGGCCUUUAUGACCAGGGCUACACACGUACUACAAUGGCCGAUACAAAGGGCAGCGACAUCGCGAGGUGAAGCCAAUCCCAUAAAAUCGGUCUCAGUCCGGAUUGGAGUCUGCAGCUCGACUCCAUGAAGUUGGAAUCGCUAGUAAUCGUGGAUCAGCAUGCCACGGUGAAUACGUUCCCGGGCCUU